rnacentral:rRNA from 1 species
AUUGAACGCUGGCGGCGUGCCUAACACAUGCAAGUCGAACGGUAACAGGUGUAGCAAUACAUGCUGACGAGCGGCGGACGGGUGAGUAACGCUUGGGAAUCUGCCUAUUAGUGGGGGACAACCCGGGGAAACUCGGGCUAAUACCGCAUACGCUCUACGGAGGAAAGCCGGGGACCGCAAGGCCUGGCGCUAAUAGAUGAGCCCAAGUCGGAUUAGCUAGUUGGUAGGGUAAUGGCCUACCAAGGCGACGAUCGGUAGCUGGUCUGAGAGGACGACCAGCCACACUGGGACUGAGACACGGCCCAGACUCCUACGGGAGGCAGCAGUGGGGAAUAUUGGACAAUGGGCGCAAGCCUGAUCCAGCGAUGCCGCGUGUGUGAAGAAGGCCU